CCUACGGGGCGCAGCAGUGAGGAAUAUUGGUCAAUGGACGAGAGUCUGAACCAGCCAAGUAGCGUGAAGGAUGACUGCCCUAUGGGUUGUAAACUUCUUUUAUAAAGGAAUAAAACGAGGCACGUGUGCCUUUUUGCAUGUACUUUAUGAAUAAGGAUCGGCUAACUCCGUGCCAGCAGCCGCGGUAAUACGGAGGAUCCGAGCGUUAUCCGGAUUUAUUGGGUUUAAAGGGAGCGUAGAUGGGUUGUUAAGUCAGUUGUGAAAGUUUGCGGCUCAACCGUAAAAUUGCAAUUGAUACUGGCAGUCGUGAGUACAGUUGAGGUAGGCGGAAUUCGUGGUGUAGCGGUGAAAUGCUUAGAUAUCACGAAGAACCCCGAUUGCGAAGGCAGCUUACUAAACUGUGACUGACAUUGAUGCUCGAAAGUGUGGGUAUCAAACAGGAUUAGAUACCCCGGUAGUC
rnacentral:rRNA from 1 species